rnacentral:lncRNA from 1 species
AUCCAAAUGUGUUAAGAAAAUAGUUUUGGAAUUUUUGAAUAUCAAAAAGUAAUUAAAAUGAAUUAAAAACUAUUAAAAACAAAAUAGUUCACAAAAAAUAUUAAAUGGAAUCACAAAAAUAAUUAAAAAUCAGAUUAUGAAACUAGAUUUUAAAAGAAUUUUUUUGCAAUUGGUCUCAUAUUUUUGUGAUUCCAAAUAAAAGAGUUAUGAAUUUUUGAAUGGAAUCACAAAAAUAAUUAAAAAUCAGAUUAUGAAACUAGAUUUUAAAAGAAUUUUUUUGCAAUUGGUCUCAUAUUUUUGUGAUUCCAAAUAAAAGAGUUAUGAAUU